rnacentral:rRNA from 1 species
CCUACGGGAGGCAGCAGUGGGGAAUAUUGGGCAAUGGGCGCAAGCCUGACCCAGCAACGCCGCGUGAAGGAAGAAGGCUUUCGGGUUGUAAACUUCUUUUAAGAGGGAAGAGAAGAAGACGGUACCUCUUGAAUAAGCCACGGCCAACUACGUGCCAGCGGCAGCGGUAAUACGUAGGUGGCAAGCGUUGUCCGGAUUUACUGGGUGUAAAGGGCGUGCAGCCGGGCUGACAAGGCAGAUGUGAAAUCCCGCGGCCUAACCGCGGAAACGCAUUUGAAACUGUCAGUCUUGAGUACCGGAGAGGUAAUCGGAAUUCCUUGUGUAGCGGUGAAAUGCGUAGAUAUAAGGAAGAACACCAGUGGCGAAGGCGGAUGACUGGACGGCAACUGACGGUGAGGCGCGAAAGCGUGGGGAGCAAACAGGAUUAGAUACCCGGGUAGUC